GAGUAAUGUCUGGGAAACUGCCUGAUGGAGGGGGAUAACUACUGGAAACGGUGGCUAAUACCGCAUAACGUCGCAAGACCAAAGAGGGGGACCUUCGGGCCUCUUGCCAUCAGAUGUGCCCAGAUGGGAUUAGCUUGUUGGUGAGGUAACGGCUCACCAAGGCGACGAUCCCUAGCUGGUCUGAGAGGAUGACCAGCCACACUGGAACUGAGACACGGUCCAGACUCCUACGGGAGGCAGCAGUGGGGAAUAUUGCACAAUGGGCGCAAGCCUGAUGCAG
rnacentral:rRNA from 1 species